rnacentral:tRNA from 1 species
GGAGAGGUCGCAUAGUCCGGUCGAGUGCGCGUGUUUGGAGUACACGUGAGCCUUUUUGGCUCCGGGAGUUCGAAUCUCCCCCUCUCCGCCA